rnacentral:ribozyme from 14 species
GAAAAAACAAAAGUCGGAGAGGCAGUAUAAUAGUCCCAAAAAUGAUGGGUUGGGGGAUUUUUUUUGUUGCUUGUUUGUCUGCGUGUAAGCCGUACCAUUUGCACUUUCUUUUUCUUUUCUUCCUUUUUCUAAG